AUACGUAGGGGGCGAGCGUUGUCCGGAAUGAUUGGGCGUAAAGGGCGCGUAGGCGGCCUGUUAAGUCUGGAGUGAAAGUCCUGUUUUCAAGAUGGGAAUUGCUUUGGAUACUGAUGGGCUUGAGUGCAGGAGAGGUUAUCGGAAUUCCCGGUGUAGCGGUGAAAUGCGUAGAGAUCGGGAGGAACACCAGUGGCGAAGGCGGGUAACUGGACUGCAACUGACGCUGAGGCGCGAAAGUGUGGGGAGCAAACAGGAUUAGGUACCCUGGUAGUCCACACUGUAAACGAUGAAUGCUAGGUGUAAGAGGUAUCGACCCCUUUUGUGCCGGAGUUAACACAAUAAGUACCCCGCCUGGGGAGUACGGUCGCAAGACUAAAACUCAAAGGAAUUGACGGGG
rnacentral:rRNA from 1 species